UAAGUUUUAGAUACUGUCGACCAAAAAAAUUAUUUGAGGUCGUUCGGCGAGAAAUAAAAAUGUAGUAAAAAUGUGUCCGCUGCGGACAACCAGCAGGGAAGAAUUUUAGGAGGUUAAAGUGAAGCGAUACAAAAUUCAAAUGCUUUGUACAAAUAAUGGAGGACGAUUCUUUGCAGAACAUCCGGUCUUUGCAGAGGGAGAUGACGACUUUAAAAAUCGAGCAUUUCCCGAAUGGAAAGAAGACAUGGACAGAACAUGUGUGAUGUUUUCAGACGUCAGACUGCUUUACACGGUCACUCGAGUCAUUAGGGUAGACCAAGAAGAACAAACCACAGAUAUAGUGGUGCCUCAGUAGUAAAUUCCCCUCAGAGACUAUACGCCGAACCCCCGUGAGAAAUUGUCUUACGGGGUGAAGAUAUAGUCCGGACUGCAUAGCGAUAUGCAGAACACAACAGAAAUGAUUGUGUCUCGUCGCGUCUGACGCGACGAAGUAACAUUGUCGACCCCAGUAGUCUACGCCCUAAACGAUGAUCGCUGGCUUUUCGGAGUAUCGACCCUCUGAGAGGCGAAGCUAACGCGUUAAGCGAUCCGCCUGGGUAGUACGAUCGCAAGAUUAAAACUCAAAGGAAUAGACGGGGACUUGCACAAGCGGUGGAUUAUGCGGUUCAAUUCGAUGACAAACGAAAAACCUUACCAAGGCUAGAAAUCUAGAUGAAUGCUGGAGAAACUCAGCAGUCUCACAAGGACAUCUAGACAGGUGAUGCAUGGCCGUCGUCAGUUCGUGAUUUGAAUUGUUCCCUUAAGUGGGGUAACGAACGCAACCCUCGUUGUCUGUUACAAGUGUCAGACGAGACCACCCAGCACUAAGGUCAGAAAUUGAAUCAAAAAUUGUUUAUAAAAAUGCCUUGCGAGCGCGACUGGCGUGAGCACGAGGAAAAAUUCAGCAGAAUUUUAUCCGUGCAUUUUUAGAAAUAAUUUUUGAAUGAGAUUUCCUACUUGAGUGCUGGGAGGAAGCGAGGAUGACGCCAGGUCAGCAUGUCCCUCUGAUGCCUUGGGCUACACGCAUAAUACAAUGGUCACUACAACGGGUCGCAACAGCGUAAGCUUGAGCUAAUCCUAAAAAGUGGCCCCAGUUCGGAUUGAGGGCUGAAACUCGACCUCAUGAAGUUGGAAUCGCUAGUAAUCGCGGGUCAGCUAUACCGCGGUGAAUACGUUCUCAAGUCUUGUACUCACCGCCCGUCAAGUCAAGGAAGUUGGGAGUACCCAAAGGCUCAUGUAAGUGGGACUAAGGUAAACUCAAUGACAAGGACUAAGUCGUAACAAGGCACGGCUAGCGGAAGCUGGUCGUG
rnacentral:rRNA from 2 species